rnacentral:rRNA from 1 species
AACAAGGAUUCCCCUAGUAACGGCGAGUGAAGCGGGAAGAGCUCAAAUUUUAAAUCUGGCGGUCUCCGGCCGUCCGAGUUGUAAAUUAUAGAAGCGUUAUCUGUGCCGGACCUGUCAUAAGUUGUCUUGAAUGAUAUAUCAGAGAGGGUGAGAAUCCCGUGCUUUGGCAGGACUACCGGGGCUAUAUGUUGCGCUCUCGACGAGUCGAGUUGUUUGUGAUUGCAGCUCCAAAUGGGAGGUAAAUUCCUUCUAAAGCUAAAUAUCUUGGAAUGACCGAUAGCGAACAAGUACCGUGAGGGAAAGAUGAAAAGAACUUUGGAAAGAGAGUUAAACAGUACGUGAAAUUGUUAAAAGGGAAAC